rnacentral:rRNA from 1 species
UGGGGAAUCUUGGACAAUGGGGGCAACCCUGAUCCAGCGAUGCCGCGUGAGUGAUGAAGGCCUUCGGGUUGUAAAGCUCUUUCAGUGGGGAAGAUAAUGACGGUACCCACAGAAGAAGGACCGGCUAACCUCGUGCCAGCAGCCGCGGUAAUACGAGGGGUCCUAGCGUUGUUCGGAAUUACUGGGCGUAAAGGGUGCGUAGGCGGUUGACUUAGUCUGAUGUGAAAUCCCCGAGCUUAACUUGGGAACUGCAUUUGAAACGGGUCGACUGGAGAUUGGAAGAGGUGAGUGGAAUUCCUAGUGUAGAGGUGAAAUUCGUAGAUAUUAGGAGGAACACCAGAGGCGAAGGCGGCUCACUGGUCCAAUACUGACGCUAAGGCACGAAAGCGUGGGGAGCAAA